AACGCUAGCUACAGGCUUAACACAUGCAAGUCGAGGGGCAGCAUGAACUUAGCUUGCUAAGUUUGAUGGCGACCGGCGCACGGGUGAGUAACACGUAUCCAACCUGCCGAUGACUCGGGGAUAGCCUUUCGAAAGAAAGAUUAAUACCCGAUGGCAUAAUUCUUCCGCAUGGUAGAAUUAUUAAAGAAUUUCGGUCAUCGAUGGGGAUGCGUUCCAUUAGGUUGUUGGCGGGGUAACGGCCCACCAAGCCUUCGAUGGAUAGGGGUUCUGAGAGGAAGGUCCCCCUCAUUGGAACUGAGACACGGUCCAAACUCCUACGGGAGGCAGCAGUGAGGAAUAUUGGUCAAUGGACGAGAGUCUGAACCAGCCAAGUAGCGUGAAGGAUGACUGCCCUAUGGGUUGUAAACUUCUUUUAUACGGGAAUAAAGUGAGGCACGUGUGCCUUUUUGUAUGUACCGUAUGAAUAAGGAUCGGCUAACUCCGUGCCAGCAGCCGCGGUAAUACGGAGGAUCCGAGCGUUAUCCGGAUUUAUUGGGUUUAAAGGGAGCGUAGGCGGACGCUUAAGUCAGUUGUGAAAGUUUGCGGCUCAACCGUAAAAUUGCAGUUGAUACUGGGUGUCUUGAGUACAGUAGAGGCAGGCGGAAUUCGUGGUGUAGCGGUGAAAUGCUUAGAUAUCACGAAGAACUCCGAUUG
rnacentral:rRNA from 1 species